rnacentral:rRNA from 1 species
ANGNNNAACUUCCCNAAUCGCUGACCCUACCUUAGGCCGCUGGCUCCUUUCGGUUACCUCACGGACUUUGGGUAUUGCCAACUCUCAUGGUGUGACGGGCGGUGUGUACAAGGCCCGGGAACGUAUUCACCGCGACAUUCUGAUUCGCGAUUACUAGUAACUCCGGCUUCAUGCAGGCGAGUUGCAGCCUGCAAUCCGAACUGGGACGAGUUUUAUGAGUUUUGCUCCACCUCGCGGUCUUGCUUCUCUUUGUUCUCGCCAUUGUAGCACGUGUGUAACCCUAGACAUAAGGGGCAUGAUGAUUUUACGCAUCCCCCCCUUCCUUCGGUUAACCAAGGCAGUCUUGCUAGAGUGCCCAUUUUAAUGUUAGCAACUAAAUAAUGGGGGUGCGCUCGUUGCGGGACUUAAACCAACAUCUCACGAAACGAGCUGACCACAACCAUGCCCCACCUGUGUUCCUGCUCCCGAAAGAGCUUCCCCUUAUUACAGGGAAUUCCGGACAUGUCAAGUCUUAGGAAAGGGUCUUUCCCGUUUCUUCCAAAUUAAAACACAUGCUCCCGCUACUUGUGGGGGGCCCCCCCCCAUUCCUUUGAGUUUUUAAUCUUGCGACCGUACUUCCCCAGGGGGGGUAAUUUUUUUGGUUUUUCGGGGGGCAAAAGUAUUUUAAACCCCCCCACCCUAAUACCCAUCGUUUACGGGGGGGGAAAAACAAGGGGAUUUAAUCCUGGUUUGCUUCCCCACGCUUUUUUUGUCUCAUGGUCGAUUACAGUCCAAAAAAGACGCCCCUCGCCACUGGGGGUGCUUCCCUAAACUCUUCCCCUUUCUCCCGCUCAACAAGGAAUACCCCUUUUCCUCUUCCUGCCCCCCCAGAAAUUCCCGUUGGGAAAGGCAGAUCCCCCGGGUGAGACCGGGGAGUUUUAUCCCCCCUUUAUAUUUCAACCUCCCC